GGGAUGUUGUAAGGCUUAUGUGAGUGAAUCCACGUAAAAGGGCUUUGAACAGGGCUUUAAGGAACUAUAUAUGGUGUUGGCUGGUCUAUUUUCAUACUAAAUGCUCAAUAGUCCCCAGGGUGUAGAGGUUCCUCUGGACCCCGCUCCUCUUUUGUUUCUCUUCCUGUCUGAGGAGAAAGUCUCCUGGUCCCCCUCAUCCCUUGCUGGGCCCUUUGAGGAGGAGCAGAACCAAGACACAGGACUCGCAGAGGCCUCAGACCUCCCCUACUCAAAGUUCAGGGACUCGGAGCCUGGGAGGCUGGGGUGGGAGGGAGGAAGGAGGUGGCGCUGGCCGCUAAAUUUGUUCAUCCUGACUGUCAGUCCCUUAAUCUGAUCCCCGAGGAACAACGCAGAGGCUUCACUCUGGAUGACAAACGAGGAGGGGAGAGGCCUGCCCCGCCUGGACUCUGGGCCCCAGCCAGGACUGUGUAAGCGAGAGGAUACCUGCACCCCCUUUAAUCCCUCAGCGGGGUCUCCCCAGUGGGGAGACCAGACCUGGGAAACAUGGCUCACCUUGGUAAGCCAUCAGCCUCUCCAUGCCUCAGUUUCUUCAUCUGCAAAAUGGGCAUACCUUUAGGCCUAGUGAGGCUAGUGCAUGUAAGCACUUAAUAAAGCCUGCAGCGGUGGGGCUCAGAUGGCCCAGCCCUCUGCUCUGAGGACCUCCCUGACCUGGCAUGCACAUCUGCAUGGUCAUGUACACGUGCGUGCACACGAGCUGGGGAGCAGUGAAGACGCUCCCAGAGGAGACGCUCAGAAACGAUGAUGAGGUCUUUUCUGAAUGGACCUGACCAUUUCGAAGAACAGAAUGGCAAUUUCACAUGGUGCAACUGGGGAGGUGAACCGCCCAGCCCAGAGCCGGCCUGCAGCGGCACUCACCCCAGCAGCUGUCAUAGCGGAGCGAGCCUGCGUCCUCUAUAAACCCAGGCACUGCCCUGGGCAGAGGCUGCUUUCCGGCUGGAAGCGGCAGCUCCCUGGCCAACACCCGGCCAGAUUCUGAGCCUUCUCCACCUGCCAGGUGGACCUUCAGAAGCUCUAUGCCGAUGAGCUGGUGGGUGGAGGGCUCCCCUGGCCCUCAGUUCUUCACUGUUGCGUAGGGAGAGAGAGAGAGGAGUCUGCUCCCGACGUUCCUGGGCCAGGGAGCCCCAGAACCACGACUCCUUUUCUGUGAACAGUACCGGGGGUCCAACUUGCUCACCAAUGGAGAGUUCACUUGGGGCACUCCCUGUGCUCAGCAAGGCCCCACACUUGGUUUAACAUGCUGCUGCCAUGGUCUCGAAAUUCUUAACAAUUGUGGAACAAGGGGCCCUGCAUUUGCAUUUUUCACCCAGACUGUUACAACAUACGUAGCCGGUCCUGCCUGCCAGACAUGCGUGUUACAGCUGCGUCCAGCUGGCCACGUCACUCCACACUGCGCUCCGCCCCCAACGCUGCAACAGUCCCCAAAAGCCUGAAGCCGCAGACUCAUCCACUCUCCAGGCCGGCUCUCCGGGCUGUGGGCACACGUGAGACUGCCCUCUGUACGUUCUGAGGGACCAGGAACCUCAGGGUGCGGGUAUCAGCCUCUCCUCACUAGGCAGCCCCCACCCCACCAUCCUCAGGAGCCCCCCGGGCCGGACGGCGGGUCCCCUGGCUAAGCUGAACUCCAAUGGGACACCGAAAUGCCAGCCUCUCCCUCCUGUCGGCUCCCUUGAUUCCUGAACAAGGGAUUCCUUCAUCCUUCCGGGGUCCCUGCCCUUCCUUCCAGCUCUGCUGCAGACAUGAGGGAAGAUGCUCUCUCCCUCAAAUCUGUGCAGUCCCCAAGGCUCUCCCCCACCGGCCCCCACCUCUUCUCCUCUGCACGUGGGCGAGGGCCUUUGGGGAGGAUGUGGGUCUGACAGGGCCCGGCCGUGAGCCCUGCAGUGACAAGGCGGUCUGGGAGGGUCUGCCACUUGACUAGCCUGUGGGAGACCCAGCCCCUUGGGACAGGCAAGUCCCCACCAGACAGCCGGCAACAGAGCAGCAACUGCUCUGAAGAAGGUGCCAGAGGGGAUGUGGCAGAGAAGAGGACACGCUGUCGGGAUGGUGGCCAUUCCAGUGGAAGAGGCCGAGGACGACCAGGAGGACCAGUCACCAGUAAUAAAAAAGUUGCAUCAAACGUGGGUUUCGACCUGGUUCUCAAGAGGCGACCUGAGGAAGUGGAUGAAACUGACCAGACUUGGG